rnacentral:rRNA from 1 species
AAGCGGAUCUCUUAAAGCUGUUCUCAGUUCGGACUGCAGUCUGCAACUCGACUGCACGAAGCUGGAAUCGCUAGUAAUCGCGGAUCAGCACGCCGCGGUGAAUACGUUCCCGGGCCUUGUACACACCGCCCGUCACACCAUGGAAGUCUGCAAUGCCCGAAGCCGGUGGCCUAACCACUUAUGUGGAAGGAGCCGUCUAAGGCAGGGCAGAUGACUGGGGUGAAGUCGUAACAAGGUAUC